ensembl:snoRNA small nucleolar RNA SNORA67
AUCCAAAGUGAUUCCCUCUCCAAAAGGCAAGUCCUAUCCCUUUCAUAAAAGCACUAUGUUGGAGGAAAAUCUCACAUCCCUGAAAUCUCAUGGGGACAAGGGAUGCUUCAUUCUUUAUGUGGCGAGUAGUAUCA